rnacentral:rRNA from 1 species
GACGAACGCUGGCGGCGUGCUUAACACAUGCAAGUCGAACGGAAAGGCCCUGCUUUUGUGGGGUGCUCGAGUGGCGAACGGGUGAGUAACACGUGAGUAACCUGUCCUUGACUUUGGGAUAACUUCAGGAAACUGGGGCUAAUACCGGAUAGGAGCUCCUGCUGCAUGGUGGGGGUUGGAAAGUUUCGGCGGUUGGGGAUGGACUCGCGGCUUAUCAGCUUGUUGGUGGGGUAGUGGCUUACCAAGGCUUUGACGGGUAGCCGGCCUGAGAGGGUGACCGGCCACAUUGGGCCUGAGAUACGGCCCAGACUCCUACGGUAGGCAGCAGGGGGGAAUAUGGCACAAUGGGCGGAAGCCUGAUGCAGCAACGCCGCGUGCGGGAUGACGGCCUUCGGGUUGUAAACCGCUUCCGCCUGUGACGAAGCGUGAGUGACGGUAAUGGGUAAAGAAGCACCGGCUAACUACGUG